AUCUGACCGUGCGAAGGUAGCGUAAUCAUUUGUCUUUUAAAUGGGGACUUGUAUGAAUGGUAUAACGAGGGCUUAACUGUCUCCUCCCUCUUGUCAAUGAAAUUGAUCUCCCCGUGCAGAAGCGGGGAUACUCUCAUAAGACGAGAAGACCCUAUGGAGCUUUAGAUACUAAGGUAGACCAUAUUCCAUAACCCCUUGUUAAAGGAGUAAAUCUAUGCUAAUCCUACCCCUAUAUCUUCGGUUGGGGCGACAAUGGGGAAAUAAAAAUCCCCCAUGCGGAACGGGAAAAUUUUAUCUAAGAAAUUAUUCUUACCAUAAAGCUACUUCCCCAAAUUAAGAGUGACAACUCUAAAUUACAGUAUUUCUGACCAUAAAUGAUCCGGCAUUUGCCGAUUAACGGACCAAGUUACCCUAGGGAUAACAGCGCAAUCCCCUUUUAGAGCCCACAUCAACAAGGGGGUUUACGACCUCGAUGUUGGAUCAGGACAUCCUAUUGGUGCA
rnacentral:rRNA from 1 species